rnacentral:lncRNA from 1 species
GGAGAUACAGCGACCCUUGCUCACUUAUCACUGUGCUCGGGCCGCACAGCGCGCCACUUACGGGUGACGCCCUAGCUUUAGCGCUAUUUUGUUCUGGAUUCAUUUUCAUAAGGAUUCGACGUGAUCAUGGAGUGCCGGCUGUCGACUACCUGACGCCCUCCCCCUCCUCCUUUAUCCGGGCUUGGGACCGGCCAUGUAAGACAUAGGCGGAGUUAUUUGACUAGAACCAUAUUUAAAAUUUUUUAUAUCUGAAAUAUUAUUGAUCAAUUGUAACUUGCCCUGUUGCUAUUUGCUAAUGACAGAGGCUAGGAAGAUUGUACUUAUUCUGUUCGUAGAUGCAAGCCUAGAAAUUAAGUGUGUAUAGGGUUAAAUCAAUUGAUGCUAUAGUAUUUGUUAAAAUUGUUAGAUUUAGGGGUUUGGUAAAUUGAUUUUAGAGAUGUUAUUUUUAAGGUACCUUUGACUCUUAAUUGCCAUAUGGCAUUCAAUAUAUACUCUAUUGCUUGCUGGGGUUUACCCUUUGGAGCAUUUUAUUACGUUUCUUCUUGCUCACUGACUGAAAAUUUUAAACGCUCUAGGUGAAUGUAGAUGCUGCAAAACCCUGCCCGAAAAAGGGAUGAAAGCCAGCAAUUCAACUUGCUACUGCGAUACACAGGUAUGUUGAAAACUUUCCCAAAUCCUCUGUGGUUACACAAUUAUACAGGUGUGUAUGUACAGCUUUAUACAUGCAUCUAUGGAAAUGCAUAUGUUUGAGCCUGGUUUUUGUUUUAAUUUAUAGGCUGGUUGUCAGGUUCUAGCUGUGUGAAGUUUAUGUCGUUAAUUUUAAUUUUUUAUGAAAGUAGCUCAUGUUUGCUUACCCAGCGGUGGUUGUUCUGAUUUAGUGGUUAAAAAUGGAAAUUUCACUCGCAAUACGGGAUUAAUUGAGGUUCAUGCAUGCAUCAUUGGUGUAAAUUUGAGAGACGGAAUGAUAUAUGUAUGUGUAAAAUCCCUCCGUUUGGUUUUUUAUUGCAUUGUUUAAGUGGUGAAUUGCACAGAAAAUGGGGGAAGAGAGGGGUACAAAUUAUUUUACGAGUUUAAAAUUGCUCAUUUUGCACCACACUAGCAGUUUGACUGUUAUCAAAUUGGAUGUGUGUUUUCUCUUGAUUUCAAUUCUUGGUUCUAUCCAUUUUGCACCCCUAUUAAUUCCCAAAUCAUUUGUCAUAUAGAUUGACAUAAAAAAAAACAGAGAGACAAUUAUGGAGUGCAUACUGAUGCUGCAUGCACUACCCAGUCUGCCAUCAACAGUGGUGUAAUACUUCAUUAGGUACACAGUACACUCAUUCCCUUUAUAAUUGGGUUUAGUACGAAAAUUUUCAAAAUUUUCAAGCUGGUAAAUAUGAUUUGGUUCUGUUUGAUUGAUUGUUUAUUUAGGGUUUUUCUUUAUAAUUCAGUAAAUGAUUGCUCCUUUGGCUAUAAAAUUUGACCCCUAUAAAUUUCCAGGUUAUUCUGGGACUUUGUCAACAGCGCAGAGUUCUCUUCACGGCGCAUCACUAUUCCGUGCAGCAUAGCUCGGUAGCAGUUUUAGGUGAGUCUCAAUUGCCCAUUACUGUUCAUCUUCUUUUGAAUUUCUGUGCAAAUAUUUUUGAAGUCCAAGUGAUUCAAAUUUCAAAUUUGUGUAAAUUGAUAAGUGUGGGUGUAGACACCCAAUAUGGCUUUUACAUGGUGUUGCUAUCUGGUUUUUGACAGAAUUAUAUUGGGGACUGUCCAGAUUUUGGUUUAGCUGCAGAUGAAGCAAGAUCAAGAGGUUAUAAAUUAGAGGUAUAAUUUAUUUUUUAUAUUUGAUGCAUCGUUGGAUUAAUGAAUACAGUAGGAACAUUGACUUGGUGUAUGUGUUUUCAUUCAUUUUUUAGAAUGGAAAACUGAAUUUUGUGUGUUUAUGACUCUGUAUAUACUCUGUACUUAUUUUAAUUACAGUAAAAGUGAUUGAAAAUAGCAUUAUUUGGUAGUAAGGAAAAUUAGGGUUUCAAUUAAAGGAUGGCCGGAGGAGGAGGAAGACCUUUGGAGCAAGCACCAACUAGGGCAGUUGUCGAUGUUUGUUUUGUUUUGGUUUUGGUUUCGAUCCACAUCGAAUAUUUCAUUCAUUUAAUGGAAAGGUUUCCUUUCACACGUAAUUGGGUUAAUUUCAUCUUAUGAAGUCACUUUCGGGUUUAUUAUGAAUGCAAAAUGAGGUAUUUUGAUUAAAUUUUAAUUGCACUCCUUGCAAUGGUUGACAAAGAGAAACAAAAGAGCUCUCUAUGAAGCUCUUGAGAAUAUGGUAUUAGGGUUCCUAUCUUUGCAUCUAACAGUAGGAUAAGAUCGCAUUUCAGAUAUAUGUACGUCGAAGGUUGUUGGAACAACUUGGCAUCCAUGCAAUAAUAAGCAAGAUGUCAAAUCGGACAAAGGCAAAGAUAAGAGUGGUGCUUCAGAUGACAACUCCCACGGAAGGCUUCUCUCAGCCUUGAAUUCCAGUGGGGGGUGACCGAUAUGAGCUGCUGGAGAUGACAAAUGUGCUCCCAAGGUGCACUGGAUUGUCCAUGCUUUUAGUUUUAUCAAAUAUGACAAGUUGAUAUACAUGUUUUCUUUGUUUUUUGACUCAUACAAAUGAAACUAAAUGUGAUUUUACAAGGUUGCUUUGAUUGUUGCCAAUUGAUUCUAAAGCAAUCUCCACUGUUGUCUUGCAUAUGAUCUUAAAUGCCAUCUCUGUAGCUACGAAUGUGCUAUACUUACUGUUAACGUGAUUCUUAAACCAUUUGUGCUAAUUGUACAAUGUCUUUUCAUGUCAACUGAGUUGAAUGUAGAUAAAAGCCAAGCUGCAUAUCUUACUAACCCCAUUCACUGCAUAUCCCUGAGUUCAUUCAUGAUUGUGUUCAAUUUAUUCAGGUUAAAUGUGUCUUAUUCAUGUGGUUGAGGGUACAUUCAAUUCCCGCAGCAAAGCGCGGACAUAUUUUCUAGUUUAUCCUAAUCUCACUCCAUGAACUGUUCAAACUACAUUUAACAUGAACAUUAUACUGCAUAAAAUCAGCAUUAGACAAAUCUAAUCAAGGGUUUGGAGCUAGAAGCUUAGCUAAAAAAUUUCAUCAUACAAUCAACAACAACCAAGGCUAAUCAAGUUUUUUGGAUUUAGACACAAUUUUUUUUUGAACCUGAAAUUUGGCCUUUCAAUUUAACUCUGCGCUGCUUGUGGAAAAACCGCAACCGCCAAAGGUAAGGUUUUGAUAGAGAAUCAAAGAACCCACGAGGGAAGCUAACUCGGGAAUACAAUGUAGAAGCUAAAGCCCAAGUGCCAUGAGAGAUGAUUUUAUACCUUUUGCCACUGACAAAUGCGGAGAAUUCCGACUUUGAAAAAGUAAAAAAAAAAAAAAAACCUCAAAACGAAAUGGUUAAUAUACGGUUAAAGUAUGAAUUUUUUUAAUUCAAAUUAGAAUUAUCAAUUGGUUGUUUUUAUUUAAACCCCAUAAUUUGUUAAAAACACCCUACAUUCAAAAUUUAUUCUUACAAUUCCAGCUUUACCUUUCGUUUUGUUGAAUCCACCUAAUCUCCCACCCAUAAACAAUAAAAUCCCACAGCUACCCACCCCACAACCACAACCACAACUUCGCCGGUGACCCCAUUCAAUCUUAAUUUUCUCUCUUUCAUAGUUAUGCUUUUGUUUGGCAUUUGACAUAGGAUUGACGGGAAUGAUCACACAUGCAUUGGGCUACUGCGAUUAUGGAUGAAAAUGCAGCCUAUAAAACUGUUAAAAACCCCUUUCCAUCAUUUCCAUGAUAGGCUGUUUGGAUGUUACGAUGAAAUUUUUAUCUUUCCCUCAUAAGCUAGUUUAGAUUUAUAAAGUGUAUAGCUAACCGUAUGAAAUUUCAAUUUUAUGUUUUGGCUAGGUUGAAUGGAAUCACAAGAGAAGAGUGGUGGUAGUGGGUGGGUGGGUGGGUGGCUGUGUUAGAUUUUUUGUAUUUGGGAGGUGGGGUGAAUUCAACAAAAGGAAGGGUAAAGUGGAAUUGUAGGUAAAAAGGGUGUGAGAGAAGUAAAAAUGAUCCCCUAAAAAAACCCUUUAUCAAUUUUAUGCAAAUAAAAUAAAAGGGGAUGAUAAUAUUUGAAAUCCCUAUGUUCCUUGAAAUUAUGUGAGUUUUGUCAAAUAUUUGUUGAAGCAGAUUCAUUCCUUCGUAUAUCAUCCUCAGCAAAAGUUUUCCGAAAAGAGGAUUUAAGCACGGCCUCGCUGACUCACUAAAGAUGAUGCGGGCAACAACAGCUGCUGCUGCUUCUUUUUUGAAGGUUGGUUAUGGCAGCAGCAGCACCAGAGGUAUGCCUCCUUUUCUUCUUCGAGCUUCUUCUGUUGUUAUUUUCAACACUUACUUGGCUUUGUUUCACUCUCGACCUUCUAAAUCGACCGAAUCUAGAAACACCCAACACUACCAGCUUGUGAAAAUCACUAAUGUUGAGGAUGCUCUCAAUGUGUUCGACGAAAUGCUUCACAGGCGUCCUCUGCCUUCCGUUGUCCUUUUCAAUCAAGUGUUGGGUCAACUUGCCAAGUUGAAGCAUUACUCGACAGUCAUCUCCUUGAAUAACCAAAUGGUUGCGUCAGGAAUUCGUCCUGAUGUUUAUACCUUAAACAUUAUCAUUAAUUGCUUUUGCCAUAUGCACCAAAUGGGGUUUAGCUUGUCUAUCUUGGGAAAAUUCUUCAAAUUUGGUUUUGAACCGGAUGUCACAACCUUCACCACUCUAAUCAACGGCUUUCUUCUUGAGGAUGGAGAGGCUGAGGCAGCAGCACUUUUCAACAAAAUGAUGGAGGGAGGUAAUUGCAAGCCGAAUGUGGUUACUUUCAACACACUAGUAAAGGGCCAUUGCUUGAAAGGUAACAACACUGAAGCUAUCCAGUUGCUUAAGAAGAUGGAAGAAGGAAAUUGCAAGCCUGGCGUAGUUGCCUAUAGCACUGUCAUUGACAGUCUUUGCAAGGAUACUCUAGUUGUUGAUGCACUGAAGCUCUUCUCAGAAAUGACGAGUAAGGGUAUUGCCCCAAAUGUCAUUACCUAUAACUCUUUGAUUCAUUGAGUUUGCAAAUUGGGAAAUUGGAAAGAAGCUACAAGAUUGUUGAAUGAAAUGGUGAGUAAACAUAUCUUUCCAGAUGUGUGCACCUUCAGUGUUUUGGUUGAUACAUUUUGUAAAGAGGGGAUGGUCCAGGAAGCAAGGAGCGUGGUCGAAAUGAUGACGCAAAGGAAUAUAGCACCCGAUACAAUUACGUACACUUCACUUAUAGAUGGUUACUGUUUGCGAGGAGAAAUGGACGAGGCUAAAAAGGUUUUUGAAAUAAUGCUUAGCAAAGGCUGCAUGGUUGAUGCUCGUAGCUAUAACGUAUUGAUAAACGGCUAUUGUAAGCGUAAAAGGAUAGAUGAUGCUCAGAUGAUUCUUCUGGAAAUGUCUCAUAAGGGUGUUGUUCCAGAUACGGUUACUUAUAGUACUCUUAUUGAUGGGUUUUGCAAGAUGGGGAGAACACAAGAUGCACAAAACUUGUUCUCUCAAAUGCAAGCUUGUGGCCAACUUCCAGACAUUCAAACUUAUUCUAUUUUAUUGCAUGGCAUGUGUGCAAACCAACAAUUUUCCAAGGCAGCUGAAUUGUUGGAAGAGAUGGAGGGAAAGAAGUUGGAUUUUGGUAUUGUAACUUACAAUAUUCUUAUUGAAGGUUUGUGCAAAGCUGAAAAAGUUGAAUAUGCAUGGGAUCUCUUCCGUCGUUUAUCAUCAAAAGGAAUUCAACCUAAUGUCAGGACAUAUACUAUAAUGAUCAGUGGAUUUUGUAAUGGCGGACUUACAUGUGAAGCAGAAAACUUGCUUAGAGAAAUGGAAGAGAGAGAUUGUUCUCCAAAUGAUUUCACGUACAACACAAUUAUCCGUGGGUUAUUCAAUAACAACGAGACAUCAAAGUCUGUGAGGCUUAUUCAAGAAAUGGUGGAGAGGGGUUUUUCUGCAGAUGCAUCAACUACGGAGUUGGUCGUUAAUUUAUUGUCUAAAGACAAAGUAGAUCCCACUUUGUUGAAAUUUAUAGAAAGACCGUGUUGAAAUUUAUUUGCAGUUUUGACGAGUUUGGCUGCAUCCUUCCCUUGAAUGCUGCAUUGGAGGGAGUUGUUCCUGUGCUGAGUCCAGUUCAAGGAGCCAUUCAUGCAUCGCCUGGUGACUUAUGGUAUCUGUUAUUAAUUUUAUCUAUCAAGUGAUAGAGCAACUUUUAUGUUGCUCUUUUAAGAUUGUGAAAUUUGUUGGAGAAGCAAAUUUUGUGGACUGAUAUGAAAUUCGUAAACAUAUUUAUGGCUUGGUUUAACUUCUCCUUUAUUUUUUUGGUAAUAAUUCUGUUAAGGACAUUAUUUAUAAAUAAUUUUAAAGGAUAUGAGUCCGAUAGCUGCAGGUGGAGGACUCGAUUAAUUUCUUAAAAUUCUGCACUUCCUCUAACAUCAGAUACAAUAUAAACACAUCUGAUCAAAUGAUGCAUCGGAAUUCCAUCACGAAAGGACCAAUCUAAUCCGAUCAACUGAUGUCAGACGUGGUUAAACGAAGAAUUUACGAAUUCCAUCUUUGCUUAAAUAUGUUUUCUAUGUGCACUAGAAAUAUUGAAAGAAGAGAAGGCCAUCUCUCAGUAUACAGAAGCCAAUUUACACAUUUUCAAGCAUUCAGGCAAGGAAGAGUAUUGUGAAGCUUCUUUUCAGACGCAUAAUUGUGCAAUCCCCAGUGCUAGAUCAUCGGUAUCCAGAUGCCUUGCCACACCAUCGCAAUUUUUCUUUCACUCCCUUCCAAACCAAAGGAACUCAACGGAAGAAAUUGAACUGGCCUCUUCUCAGUGAUGCACGAGAUUUGCAGAAAACUUCUUAGUUGCAAACAGCGUCCUAAACCUUUAUGCUUACCACACUCAGAAAUGCUAUUGUUGAAUUUAUUUAGUUUAACAUUAGUGGUCAACUUAUUUCUCACCAACAACCAACCAAAAAAUUUCAUUUUGUGAGGAAUAUUUAGUUUCCAAAUUUUGUUAAGUAGUCCCUUAAACAUGUGACAUUGGUUAUCAUCAAUUUGAAUUAUGUGAGUUGAUUUAACUGAGAACUCUCCAUUACAGGUAGGGCCCCAAAUCAGCUUAUCUUCAACAUCACUGAUUGGAAUAGGAAUGGCUAAAAUUUUGUCAACAUUCCAACUUGUAUCCAUCAUCACAUUACUCACUUUUUUUAUUUAUUUUUUAUUUAUGUAAAUUUGACCGCAAAGUCCGUCCCACUCCAGCAUUGCUAUCAUGGGAAGAGACUUUGAGGAUAAUUUAUUGAUAAACAAGAAAAAUACAAUAUGUCAGGAGGGACAUGAGGCCAAACCCAUACCAUUUAAGAAUUCAUAACAACAAUUCAAAACCUAUUUUAGCAAAACCUAUAAAAAUGAAGAUUAGGAUGGUUGUGAGAAUAAGCAGUUGCAACACAAGGAGGGCAUGAAUCCCACCAAUGGACAGCGGGGUGAUCAACACCAUAAUUGCCCAAACAAUCAGUAACUUGAUUACCCUCUCUAAAAAUAUGAGAAAUCAGGACCUGCAUGGAGGAUAUUAAAACUCGACAGUUAUGCCAACUGACCAACAGCCUCCAAGGGAUAGAUGUCAAGGAAGGUGAGGAUGAAGAAAGAAGAUGAACAACCAGCGAGGAGUCACAUUCAAUCCAUAAGGAAUGCCGACCUUUAUCCCAAGCUAGAGAUACAUCACAUUACUCACUUUAAGGUUCCAACUAAAAGGGCUAAAUAUAGUCUCGUCUAAAAUUAUAGUCAUAUAAGAAAUUAUUUUUAAAAUGAAGCCACAUUCAUAUAUGGAUAAUAUUAGAAAGAUUAAAAUUUUUAAACCAAAUCUGAAAACUAAAUGAUGUGUUUGUAGAUAAUUGGAUUAUUAAUUAAGUGUCGAUUAACAUACGAGUUUUGUAUUCGUUACACAUCAUUUAGUUUGCACAUUUAAUUUAAAAUUUUGGUCAUCCUAACAAUACUCUUCAUAUAUCAUAUUCAAUUGAAAGUGCAAAACAUAACUUUACAUAAAUUUCUGAAUAAUUUAUUAGUUUUAAGUUUAUUAUUUUAAUUUAGAGUAAACUGUCGAUUUGCCCCCUGAACUUUUUAAUUGGAAAAUUAAGGACUUAAACUAAUUUUUUUGGCCGAUUUCCCCCCUACCGUUAGUUUUUCAUAAAUUUCAUCCAAAUUAACGUUAACUCUUAUCAUGUGCAAACCACGUAACUCUCAUUUGUGGACAAAAGCGUCAUUUCACUAGACCUUCAGACAGAAAAGCUAUAGAAUCACACAUAUUUGCAUAGGUUUAUAUUUUAGAAAUCUACGGUUUUCAAUUAUUUUAAAGAAUGAAGUGACCGAACUACCCACACAUGUUGUGCAUAUGCUUCCAUUUAACAGAAAUUUGGAUGGAAUGAAUGAAAAAUUAACAGCAUGGGGCAAAUCGGCCAAAAAAAUUAGUUUAAGUCCUUAAUUUUCCAAUUAAAAAGUUCAAGGGGCAAAUCGAAAGUUGGGUGAUAGUUCAGGGGGCAAAUCGACAGUUUACUCUUUAAUUUAUUGAUACAAACGCCCCUCUAGGCUAAACAAUUGUCUAGCUCCUGGUUUAUAAUGUAGCCAAGUGUCCCAAAUAAAGUAAUGGCCUAAAACAAACAAUAAUACCCCAUAUAAAUUUGUCAUAAGUUUUCUUCCGGUGAUACAAACGAUGCCUCUCAACUACUAGUUUUCUUCCGGCCGUUGGAUUUGAAUUAAUUUAUGCAGCAUAAGAGCUAGGCCCUAGAAAACGGGCUGAAUCGCUGAAGAUGAUGCGGGCAACGAUUGCUGCUGCUGCUUCUUUGAAGGUUGGUUAUGGCAGCAGAAGCAGCACCACCAGACUGAAACUCAAACUCAGAGGUAUGCUGCCUUGUCUCUUCAAUCUUCUUCUGUUGUUGUUUUCUUCAACAAUUACUUGGCUUUCUUUCACUCUCGAAACACCCAACACCACCAGCUUGUGAAAAUCACCAAUGUUGAGGAUGCUCUCAAUAUGUUCGACGAAAUGCUUCAAAGGCGUCCUCUGCCUUCCGUUGUCCUUUUCACUCAAGUGUUGGCUCAACUUGUCAAGUUGAAGCAUUACUCGACAGUCAUCUCCUUGAAUAACCAAAUGGUUGUGUCAGGAAUUCGUCCUAAUGUUUAUACCUUACACAUUAUCAUGAAUUGCUUUUGCCAUAUGCACCAAAUGGGGUUUAGCUUGUCUAUUUUGGGAAAAUUCUUCAAAUUUGGUUUUGAACCUGAUGUCGCAACCAUCAACACUCUAAUCAACGGCUUUCUUCUUGAGGAUAGAGAGUCUAAGGCAGCAGCACUUUUCAACAAAAUGAUGGAGGGAGGUAAUUGCAAGCCGAAUGCGGUUACUUUCGGUACCCUAGUAAAGGGCCUUUGCGCGAAAGGUAACAACACUGCAGCAAUCCAGUUGCUUAAGAAGAUGGAUGAAAGAGGUUGCAAGCCUGACGUAGUUGUCUAUAGCACGAUCAUCGACAGUCUUUGCAAGGAUACUCAAGUUGUUGAUGCAUGGAAGCUCUUCUCAGAAAUGACGAGCAAGGGUAUUGCCCCAAAUGUCAUUACCUAUACUCUUUGGUUCAUGGAGUUUGCAAAUUAGGAAAUUGGAAAGAAGCUACAAGAUUGUUGAAUGAAAUGGUGAGUAAACAUAUCUUUCCAGAUGUGUGCACCUUCAGUGUUUUGGUUGAUACAUUUUGUAAAGAGGGGAUGGUCCAGGAAGCAAGGAGCGUGGUCGAAAUGAUGACGCAAAGGAAUAUAGCACCCGAUACAAUUACUUACAAUUCGCUUAUAGAUGGUUACUGUUUGCGAGGAGAAAUGGACGAGGCGAAAAAGGUUUUUGAAAUAAUGCUUAGCAAAGGGUGCAUGGUCGAUGCUCAUACUUAUAGCAUAUUGAUAAAUGGCUAUUGUAAGCAUAAAAGGAUAGAUGAUGCUCGGAUGAUUUUUCUGGAAAUGUCUCAUAAGGGAGUUGUUCCAAAUACGGUUACUUACAACACUCUUAUUGAUGGGUUUUGCAAGAUGGGGAGAACACAAGAUGCGCAAAACUUGUUCUCUCAAAUGCAAGCUUGUGGCCAACUUCCAGGCAUUCAAACGUAUAAUAUUUUAUUGGAUGGCCUUUGUAAAAACCAACAAUUUCCCAAGGCAGUUGAAUUGUUGGAAGAGAUGGAGGGAAAGAAGUUGGAUUUUAACAUUGUAACUUAUAAUAUUCUUAUUGAAGGUUUGUGCAGAGCUGAAAAAGUUGAAUAUGCAUGGGAUCUCUUUUGUAGUUUAUCAUCAAAAGGAAUUCAACCUAAUGUCAGGACAUAUACUAUAAUGAUCAGUGGAUUUUGUAAUGGGGGACUGACAUGUGAAGCAGAAAAGUUGCUUAGAGAAAUGGAAGAGAGAGAUUGUUCUCCAAAUGAUUGCACGUACAACACAAUUAUCCGAGGGUUUAUCAGUAACUACGAGACAUCAAGGGCUAUGAGACUUAUUCAAGAAAUGGUGGUGAGGGGUUUUUCUGCAGAUGCAUCAACUAUGGAGUUGAUCGUUAAUUCACCCGCUAUGUUGGCAUUAAUAGAAAGAUCGUGAUGAAAUUGAUUUACAUCUUUGCAGUUUGGACAACUUUCGGUGCAUCCUUCCCUUGAAUGCUGCAUUGGAGAGAGUUGUUCCACUGCUGAGUCCAGUUCAUGUAGCCAUUUGAUUCACGCAUCACUUAGUGACGAAUGAUAUGUGCUAUUUUAAUUUAAUCUAUCAAGUGAUUGGGCAACUUUUCUGUUACUCUUCUUUUAAGAUGAUGAAAUCUGUUGGAGAAGCAGAGUAUAUGGACCGAUAUGAAAUUUGUAGACAUAUUUAUGGCUUGGUUUAACUUCUCGUUUGUUUUUUAUGUGAUAAUUCUGUCAAGGAUAUGAGUCGGACAGAAGAAGAAAUGGAGGAAAUGAUAGCUAUAGGAGGAGGACUGAACCCAUUUCUUAAAAUUCUGCACUUCCUCUAACACAUCUGAUCAAACAAGGCAUCCGAGUUCCAUCACAAAAGGAACAGUCUGUAUCCGCUCAAACGAUGCCCAAUGUGAUUUAACGAAGAAUAUACGAAUUCCAUCUUUGCUUAAACAUUUUUCUAUCUGCACUAUAAAAUAUUGAAAGAAGAGGGCCAUCUCUCGGUGUACAGAAGCCAACUUAACUUUGGUCAGUUGCUUUUGCUGACAUUUAUACUUGUUUGCAAUCAUCAAGGUGAAGGAUUCGUAUUCCUUUUUUGACUGCUUUUUCUUUCUUCUAAUAGUCAAAUGGUAACAGAGUUAUCCAUCUCUUUCUUUCUCUCCUCCCAUUGUUUUCAGGUCCUACGUGUAUUCUGUUGCCAGGGAGUGUGACAACGGAAAAAUUGACCCUAAGGUGCUGUAACUGCUGUUGGGGCUUCUAAAUUCUUUUUUUUCACUUUAGUAAGUGAUCUUACAAGUUCUUGGCAUUUGCAAACAAUAACUCUUCAAGGUACGAAUUUUCAGGAUUGUGCUGGAGUUAUACUAUGUACGGCUGAAAGAGCCACGCAGGUUGCUUUGCAGGUAAAAGAUUCUGCACUUACUUCUGCAGAUGUGUAAUUUUUCUUACUCAAAUAUAAACCUCAUUCGUGCCAAUCAAUUUAGUCUUAUCUUGGCCAGACGAAUAGUUUUCUACAUAUUGCUCGAAUGCCCUUAAUAAAGUUGGGUAAUUUUCGUUCACGUGAUUUGUUUCCUAGAGGUUUUUCGUAACUAGAACUGGGAUUUGUAUAUCCAUAUGCUUGCAACAAACAGAUGAGGGCUUGUGCAUGAUGACUUUACAAGUGCCGUGAACAAGUUUAUUUGAACUUUGCAGGCUACACAAUGUUUUGGUGGUAAUGGUUAUGUAAAUGAGUACCCAACUGGCCUGUCUCCUUCGCGAUGCCGAACUGUAUGAGAUCGGAGCUGGGAUAGUGAGAUCAGAAUGCACAUGUUCAAUUGCUGAGCUGAAAUGUGUGCAGCUCUCGCCUCUCGGGCACUGCAUUCAAGAUACACCCGGUGUUGCAGUCCGCCAUUUGAGUUUCUUUCACUCGCACAUUCCAGAAUGCAGAAUCAGGAAGAAGGAUCGUAGCAACUGGUGCAUCCAUGAUCAGAAAACGAGAAUCAGAGUGUUCUUCGGGUAAUAAAAACACUGAAAGUUCGGAAAUUUCUUUACUUUUUCACCUUUGCUGUAAAACCGUACUCUAUUUACCCGUGGUGGUAGCGAGGUUCAGCAGUCGUAGGCUCCGGACUCCGUUUCAUCUCUGUAAUUUUCAGUUAGAGACAGCAUAAUCUUUAAUGUUUGAACCAAAGUCAUGAAUAAAUCAUUGAUGUGGAGGGAAGCAUCCUAAAGAAACCCUACUAGAAAUCGUUUCAUCUUCUCCAAUAUGUUGGAAACCUACAGAGUAAUAGCACACAUCAACAAUUCAUGCUCAUACAAAGUUACAGUACUACAUAAUCAAACGUCAAUCGGAAAGACGCCAAUCUCCGGAAGGCCAAACAUGUCUCGGUUUCAAGACUACGACAACCGCAACUACAUAACUUAGGACUAGGAACUCAAUAAAAUACACAAUUAGGUUCUGGUGUGCACUAUUUGCAUAUGCAGAUAUAAGAUUACAACAACACAAUGACCACCCUGAAUUUCAUUAUUUUUAGACCCGGAUAGCCGUCGGAGAAGAAUCCGGCUGGCUCACGGAUGAGGACUUUGACACUUCAAGCAUGACCGGCGCAUGUUCCAAACAACUUUGAGUAUCAUCGCUGAUCAUUCCGAUGGUCAUCUUCUCCACUUCUUCCCGGGUAUAUAUAUGGAUUUUGGAGACCACAUUGCAAAAUUCACUGCACCAAGAACACAUCAUUUCCGGAAGGUCAUAUACAAAAAGCACUUGUAUGAAUUGUUCAGAAACAAAACUUGCAGCUACAUUUAUGCUAAUUAACUUAAAACAAAAGUUUAUAAAUGCAGAACUAGAUAUAAAAUUCUACUUUCCGAGAGAGAGAGAGAGAGAGAGAGAGACGUACUGCCAUGGGUCAUCCCCAACAACCAUCAUAUCGUUCUCACUAUCAGUGUACAAGAUCCGCCAUCCUUUAUCAGAAUCUCGAAGAAGGCCUUCCAUGCCAAACAGCCGCUCCAGUUCGGUCAGCAGGUCACCAUAGCCAUUCAGUUUUGCGAGAUCAAUGGCUCUUCCCACUAAGCUGCCUUGCUUGUGAACCUUCACUCAAUAUAUGUAACAUCAGUUGGCAAAGAUGUCCUAGGCAUGGCAUUUUAGAGACCAACUUGAGGGCUACAAUAGCUUACCUUUGUACAACUCCGCUUACUGGAACUCUGAGAGUUUGGAGAGGGAUUGUCCCCGGUCAAGGAAAAACCAAAAAGUUUACACCCAGUAACAGUCCCGUUAUAGUCUUUAUCAUUUGGAUUUCUUGGAUUUGGCACUAAAGCGGGAAGGGUAGAAGUACUCUCCUGUGUCUUAUGUUCACAAGGUUUAUUUGGCCUUCCAACUUCAUUUCUUGCAACUCCCAUCUGCAUAGAGUAUGGGUUGAUUUGCAUUUUCUCUCUGGGUAAGUUGGUAGCAUUAGAGCACAUUGUGGGAUCUUGGCCAGCUCUGUGAAUGUCACCAUAAGGAAAGUACAUAUUUGGAAGGGAUCCAGAAGCUAGAGAGAAAUAAUUUGGUUUGGGCGGUUGAUAAACGUUGAAAGGUGCGCAACCAUUGUUGGAUUCCCAAUCACCUAGGGUGAAAUUUGCUUUUCCUGUCAACGAUCUCAAUGGGCAUAUUUCUUGACCUUGCAAGACUUUUGGAAAUCUAUCUGAUUCCGCAAAUCCUGUGUAGGGGGUGCGGCGAGCCCUCAUAAGCUCAUCAAUAGUAGCCUUCUGUGUUGCAUUUGAUGCAAGACUUAGAUGUGCCGGAGCGUGCAUCUCAAAAUCUUGCGGGCGGUUUACAGUAUCACCCCCAUAGAGGGGUGAUAUGAAACCUAUAUUUUCUUGACCUUGCAAGACCUUAGAGGAUUUAACUGAUUCCUCAAAGUCCUUAAACCCAGCCCCUCCAGCUGCAAGAAAAUUCACAUAUUGAGGACCAAUGAUGAUGUAAAAAAUGCUUGCAAUGUUAUUGGGAAGUAUCGUACCAGUGAUGGAGGGGAUGGGUGGGGUUCCCUGCAGACUUGUCCGCAGUUUCUUCAGUCUUGGAGAAGACUGGAUGCUCAAAGGUGGGAGAGAAACAGAAGGAUCAACCUCCCACAGCGAGACUCUUUCUUGAUGAUCAUUUCCUAUAUCUUCAUCCCAUCUGACCUGGUAACGUAACAAAUAAAGGUGUAAAUGUAACACCACAAUAAUAGAACUAUAGUUUGUGAAGCUGUCAUUUCUUUACACGAAGUGCAUAUGCAGUGCAUGCAUAGAUGCAUUUCAAUAAUUCAGCACUCUCUCUCUCUCUCUCUCUCUCUCUCUCUCUCUCAGAAAAACACGGCAUGCAGUUCAUUAUCGGUUUUAAAAAAGGAAGAUAAAAUACGAAGCAUACCAUCAAGCAUCUCCAUUUUGAGUUUGGCCAUCGAAACGGAUCCAAGUCGGUGAUACCAGUCACUACACCACUACACCUACAAGAAACCAGAAUCUAUACUGUGUCAAUAAAAAGUCUAACAAGGAAAACAUGCUGGCCAUGCCAUUGAAUCAACUUAUAAAUACCUUCUUUCAGGUGAAUCAUCCCUAUCAAAUCUCAUUUUGAAUCGUGUCCCGGUGGUCACCGGAUUAGUGAUGCUUUUGACAUAUUUUUGGUAGGGAAUGACAAACUCUGCAUGGCUUGCCCUGCAUCACAGAAAUUUAAACAAUUUGAAAAGAUUCUGUCAAUGCAUAACCCCGUCCAUGCAUGUUUACGAAUCUUGGUGAAAAAAAAAAUCUGUUUUUGUUUUUGAUAGAUGAUUUGAGCAAUGGAAAGAGAGGUUACUUCAUUAAGCAUACAAUGGAAUGAAAGUAACCAUAUUUAAGCCUCGUCGAAAGAGAAUAAACCUUAAAAGAACGGUUUGCACAAAACACAGGACGAACAAGCUGGUAGAUUCUGAAGUUAAAAGAUAACUAGAAUUAUCAGUAGAUUUCCGUGUAACUCAUGCCAACUGUUGUGAUAUCCAAAAGUGGAAAUACCCCAACUUACUAGCACUUGCCGUACUAGUUUAUGGAACCGUAUUAACAAAGUAGUGUACUAAAUUAUUAAUGUCAUCUCCUUAUUUAAGUAAUCGCGUCAAGUUCUUGUUUUCUAUUGUUUGUGCUUCUUUACCACGAGAACAGGACAAGCAUAUUUAGAUCAUACACAAAAAAUGUGCAAUCAUACAGAUACGCCACAUUUAGUGAUCAAAUGAAAAAUGUUAAGUACGAAAAUGCAGAGUAUAUAAGGGUUCAUAAAAACUGUGUGUCAAAACUAACAUCACCAAAAAGUAAAGCGGAAUAGUAUUGUACUAGUACCUUGGACUGUAGAAUACAUGAAACAUGCUCUUGGUGGAUAUCGCAUUAGCCACGAAAGAAAGAACACUAGGGUACGAAUUCUGGUUGCCUACAACUGAAUCAGGAAGACCAUUUCUAGGUCGAACAGCUCUUCUAAUUCCCAACCUCAGCUCUCCGUUUUCACCCCUACAAAGACCAUUGUAAAGUAUUUAAGUUACCGAGGUUACCAGACAAUGAACAAAAUCAAAGAAACUUUUAGCUUCAAAUAGAAGUUAAAUUAGUCUUGUUCCAAAGACAUAAUAUUCUUUCAUAAUAGACAAGGUACACGUAACAUAAGUCUACAUCCUAUAAUGUGCGGAAAUCUAUUUUCGCCUUUGGACAUAAAAGUAUUUGCAUUCCAGCAGCAGAGAUUCUUUUACAGAGAAAAAUAAAUAUGUAUGCUCAACCAACUACAAUAUGGCCAAUCAACACUUUUUAUGAUCCUUAGUAAUUAUUAAUAGCUCCUUCACAAGGAAAUCUCCGAAAGAAUCAACCAUUAACAUCAUUCAGGCAAAAGGCAUAUUUUUGGCUACUUCUCACCUGUUAAAAUAUCGAUGAUAGCCUUUGAAUUGGUAGAGAAACAAAUUUGAGUGAUUCCUAAGCCAUGAUCAAUUUGAAACUAAAAUAGUCAAUUAAUUGCAGUUACCUCAAAAAAAGCACAGCAUCCCCCGCUACAAGAUUCUUUUGGCUUAUGAAAAUACUCCAUCCUGUAGUGAGCAGAUGUCGCCUUGGCUGACCUGAUGAGUAAUACGCUCAGAAUCAUACCAAAUUAACAAUCAAUCAAACCGAAAGAGGAAUUCUAAAUGAUUUACCUCUAUAUAUAUGUCGAAACCUCCACUCUACCCCGUGUAGGUCCUUUGCAACAAGUUCUUGAGACGGCCUCUGCUGUUUAUAGUCCUACCGAUAAAAGAAGAAUUCUAUUAAAAGAUAUACAAAUAGAAAAACCUUCGAUGGAAAACAGAGAAAUAUAAAUGCAUUUAUUCAUACCAAUGGAGGAAAGCAGUCUUCAGCAGCUCUCCGAGGAACAGAAAACCCUCCGUGUGUACUGGUAUCGGAAGCUGUAAGCGUUUUGCAAAACAUGUGAGGGGUUGAUUUUGUAGGUGAUCCUCCAUCCCCCUCAUCCACUCCCAACUCUUCAAGCUCUUUCCCUUCCAAAUUUGUUCCUACCAACUACAGAAUACCCAAAAUCCACAUCCUAAUUAUAACCGCUAUAAACCGAUAAAAUUGAGCAGCCACUACGAAAAAAUAGCAUUCCAACAGAAACUUCAAGUCCACAACAAUAAAAGGUUAAGAAUUAAAUAGAACAAUUCCACUCCAAAUUUCAUUGUUUAUUACAAUCAUACCUCAGGCUGAGGAAGCAAAGUGACAUGUGUGUAGACCUCAUCAUUCUCCUUGUUAGCCUGUUAAUUCAAGAAGCAACAAAUUCAAUAACCAAAUUAAAUACCCAGAAAAUAUUUGAGAAAAUAAUAACAAAAUAAAUACAAUGCUGGGAGUUUCAUAUGGAAAGGUUACUCACAAGCAGCUGGACAUUCACAACCUUGCAGAAGAUCUGCGGGUGGAGAUCAAACGUGGGCAUCUCCAUGGGAGAGAAAGGAGAGGAGGAGGCAACUUGCUCCAAGUGGCCUUGUGGGAAGUAGACAACCACAUUCCCUUUCUUGGGGAGUGAGAUGAGAGGGCCAGCACAAGCAUGCCAAAGCUCCAGAUAAAUUGAGGAAGCCACAGGAGCUGAGGAUGAAUUGGAAGAAGAUGAAGAAGUUGAAGAGGACAAGCAAUAAACACAAACACCGCCACAAUCCCCAUUGCAAUAAGCAUUCUUCUCCACCUCCCUCACUGCAUGGUUCAGAUCAAUUUCCAUGAAUGUUCCCCAGAAUUGCUCAAGAAAAAGUGCUUCCCAGAUAAGCAGUCCCAAAAGAAAAAUUGACAAGAUAAUCAAAAACAAGAAAAUGAGUAACCAAAUGGGAGAAGUGAGGAGAACCCAGAAAGCAGAAAGGGAAAAUUUGAAAUGGGGAGGUGAAAUUCAAAUCAUUUCAAGGAGUUUUGAUGUUUUGAAGGGAACCCAGAAAGCAAAAAGAGAUGAACAGAAAAGAAGAAGAAAAUCAUGUUUGGCUUGGAGGAAAAUUUCAGAGAGUGAAGGAGAGAGAAAAGCUGAGAGUGAGAGAGAGAGAAGAGCAAGAAGAAGAAGUGGUUUAUCAAAUGAUAACAAGGAAUUCAAAGUAUGAUUCCAUUUCCUCCUCCCCCAUUUACAGGUGGUUAGAAGAAGGAGCAGAAGCAGCAGCAGACGUAGACAAUUGCAUACGAACACAGAAACAAAAGGCAAAAAAAGCCAAUGUGGUGAUGGCUUUUCGACUUCGACUGUUUAACAGAAGACAGAGAGAGAGGGGAGGAGAGAAAGAGAGAGAGGAGGGUGGAGAGUGUUGGUAAUGUACUGUCUUAGCCUGUCCCCCCCACCCAACACAGUCUCUCUCUCUCUUCUUUCUCUCUGCUUUUGCUCUGCCUUUGGCUUUAUCUUUUUCGUUUUAAUUAGUAAUUUUCCUUUACUGUAUGAAGGACGUCGUAGGUGAGGCCCUCCACCAAGACAAAAGGAAGGUUUUAGCAAGAAAAUAUAUUGAAAAGACAAAAAGGGGUUUUCAUUCAUUUUCUAUUUUCUUCAUUUAAAAAUCUUCAAAAUUUGUCAUUUAGUAUUACAAUCUAGUAGGUUUCUUCUUCACUUGUAAGUGAGAGAUCUUAGGUUCGAUUCUAGAAAAAACGAAUUUGAACCAUAUUAUUGCUAGCUUAUUGAGAGACUAAGUUUACCCCUCCCUUUUAGUGUAGAUAAUAUGGGUUGUUAAAAAAAAUCUUCAAAAUUAAAAGUACAAAAUGGUCAUCCCAUUAAACAAAGUUUUAACAACAAAAAUGAAAAUUUGGAGACCAAGAGUAGCCUCUUUUGCCAAUUAAUUAUGGAGGAGAGAUUUUUGUAUGCUUUGUUUUGUUAUGUAGUUUUAUCUUUUUCUAUCAGCUUUGGAUUGAAUAAAUCAAAAUAAAACAGAAGUUUGAAAAUUACGCUAAUUUUGACAAGAGGAACUUUGUGUUUUGCAAUGUUGAAGAAUUUAUUAUUCUCCAUUUUGAAGGUCAUGCCCUUGUUCAUGUUUUGCUUUCCUUUUGAAUAAGUGGUUUCAAGAAAGUGUUUUGUUAGAGAGGAAGAAGAUCGAUGGGGAUCCAAGCCGCAUCAGAGUGCAUAAACAUAAUUACUUUCCGUUACUGCUCCAAAUCCAAUCUUUUAUAGUACUCUUCCUUUGACAUUUUUGGAGAAGGAUGCCCUCGUGCGUUUUUGUUGUAAUUUAUCGUUCUUAUGAAGAAGACUAAACAAAUAUAACCUCCUCCUAUCCAAUCUAUAUGGAUUAUUUAAGAACUAAACAAGUACGUGGAGCAAUGAAGACCAAAACUUUAGGUUCAAGUUAGGCAACUUUAAAGUUUAAAGCCAUGAAGUAAAGCCUUACUCCGUAUGGUGAGUAAACUACCUUACUAAAUAAAAAAGAAAGCUUCAAAGUUAUCCUUCGUUUUUUAAAGUAAGCAAGUAAACGAAUGUUUUUUUUAAGAAAAUAGUCGUGCUAAAUCAAAUAGAGUUAAAAAUAGAGAAUUGUUAUUGACAUUCUAAAAAUUUUAUUGUACACUUUUCACGAGUAUGUUUUUUUUUUUCUAAAUAUAAAAAGUUUGGAGUGCACAAUGAGAAUUUUUGAGAUAAUGCUUGGAAUACCACAUUUAUAAACCAAAUUAUGUGUUACCAAUAAGAAACAAGCACGUUAAUUGACAUUUACUCAAUAAUUCAAACAUUUACAACUACAUCAUUUGGUUUGUAAAUUUGGUUUAACAAAUUUGGUCUCUAAGCAUUAUACUUUUACUAAUGCAAGUGCUCAAUGCGAAUAAUUUAGCUUACCCAUAUGACAAAUUGAACGAAAACAACAAAUAAAUAUUAAAUAGGAUAAAUAAAGAGAAAAAGAGUGCAUGGUUAUUAUUUUCCAUACCAAAAUGAAAACUACUAGUAAACUAAAAACAAACAAAAAAAAUCAUUUGGACUUUUCUUUACAAAAGUUUUGUGUAAAUUGUCUUAAGAAAAUGACCAGAAUAAGUAGUGAUCUUUUUCAAUUUUGUGCAAUAUGAUUUAGACUAUUUAGUUGAAGAUCAAUCUCUUAUGUGUAAAGACUCUUUUCUUAAUAUAUGACGAAGUGAUAUUAUUUUAUUGUCCAAAGGUAAUAAUCCGAACCAUUCAUUUAUUUUGUCAUCUUCUAAAGAUCAUAUCAAUAAAAAAAAAUUGAUUUGAAUAAAAUUUAAUUAUUCACAUAAAUCAAACAUGUGGAGGAUUAAUCAUAAAGAUUUUACUUUUUAUUAUAAUCGUGAUUUGUUUGACACAAAUAAAUGAUAAAUAAAAUUAUAAUAUUUAUAUAGUAAAAUAUAUCGACUAGUGAUGUUUGAAUGGGUGGAAUCGGAAUCUUGGGAUUGACAAGAGGUCAUGGACAUAUCAUUUUAUGAAAAUAGAGAGGAGAGAGAGAGAGAGAGAGAGAGAGAGAGAGAGAGAGAGAGAGCUGUCGAUGCAAAAUGAGAAAGGAGAGGAGGGGCCCUUGGACAAUUUGGCAGCAAAUAUGGUGGGAGUGGUGUUGUUACUGUCGGGAGUAUUUUUAGAUUGAUUUUUUAGAUCAACUUUAUACAUCAUAUAAUAUUAUCAAUAAUAAAUAAAUACGUUAACCACGAGUUUGUAGUUUGAUAGUAAAUAGUGGAUUACGAGACUUGAAACUAAAAACUGAAGGUCUUGGAUUUAAAACCUGUUGUUAGUGUGGAAGUCUCUAACGGAAGGGCUUAUCACCAGUUAUUCCCAUUUAAAAAAAAAUUUAAAAAAAAAGUGAAUUAAAAAAGAAACCUUCAAAUAAUAAUUCAACAACACGAUGCAUAAUUUAGAUAUUUUAAUUUAAAUAAUUGAUCUCUCUAACAUUAUCCGAUUCCCCCACUGACCCAUCAGAGACCUUCCCAUCCACAGUCCCACUCUUCUUUGUAUCUCAAGUCUCAUCAACCCUAAAAAUCUCCGUCCUUCCCACCACCGCCGUACUCCAUUUCCCGCGCGUGAGUACACGUUUCCUGACAAAGUUUAGCUAGAGGCGUUGACAGGAGCGAAGAGCGCGUGGAGGUGAUUCUGGUGUCUUUGGCCUGCGCUUUUGGCGCUGCCUCAUUUUGUUUUUGCGAUACAUAAAUUAACAUUUCCUUCCUCACACUGUCACACAUACAUUCUCUCUCGCUCCUCGAUUACCGAUUUACCGAAUUUACCCCUCGCACGUUUUUGUAUUCACUAGACUGCCACUCGGUUUAGCGACGGAGAGACUGACAUGUGCAACGCACGGGCAUUUACAAAGUUGUCCCCCACCUUGCUCAGGAAAUUUCUCCGUGUGCCUUGUACAUAAUUUGGUAUCUCACUUUAUAUAUAUAUAGAUAAUAAAUAUUAUAAUAUAAGUGUUUGUAAUUUUUUAAAUGUGUAAUUACUUGUAUUAUGAUAUUUAAUGUAUCAGGUAGCGUUUAUUGUACUGAAAAAUUUGUCUUUCUUUACAUGCAUACUGUUUAUUUGCCACGAGGUUCUAUUGUAUAUUCGGUGGACCUCUCCGCAUGUGAUUAUGAAAGUUUUGUUUUAAGGUCGUAUAACUAUUUCGUUUGUGAUUUACAAGUUUUUUUAAUUUUUUUGAAUUGAAAACUAUUAGAUAGUUGCUUUCAAUUUUUAGGUUUUGUUAAAUAUUACCUAAAAACUAAAAUUUGAAAAUUAAAAACUAAAAAUGAAGUGGUUAUGAAACGAGACUUUAGCAUUUAAUUAAUCGAGUAAUUAUAAAUAGUCAAUAAAUACUUCAAUUUUCUUUUUAUGGAAAAAAAUAUUUCAAAAUAAAUUUGUAGCUCAAGUAAUUAAGAAUAUUUAUUUAUGCACUGUAGUCCUAGAUUUGUUCCUCUUAUCUGUUAACGCUUUAUAUCACUUUAUAUCAAAAACAACUUAAUUUUUCAUUUUUUGCAUCCCUAACCACUUAAUUAUAGAAUAGAAAAAAAAAAUUCCACACUCACACUUGUACCUACAAAUUGAUUUCAACGCAACAUUUUUUUCUCCACACCACACCUCAUGCUCAUUUUUUACCGCUAAAUCGUAUAAAGUAAAUAAAAUCAUGUACAUAAACAAAUAACUGUGCAAAGGAAGAAAGAAUUUAUACAAAGAUAAUUUUCCUUGUACUUUCACAUUAUUCAAACAGGAGGGAAUAAACAAUAUUUUCCUAUAGUCUAUAGGAUUGCAUCAACCCUAACCCUAGCUGGGAGUGCCGCUAGCCUGCUACCACAAAACUACUAAUUGUUGCCAAUGGAUGGCGAAGAACGCCAACUAUGGUUAUAAGAGUCACUGCCAUAUAUCCAUCGCUAAAGAAGAAAGAUAGAUUGAGGUUAAGAAACCUGAGGAGAAGAAUAUCGGUACACAAUUCACAAUUUCGGAAUAUGCCGAGAACAAGACAAAAGACAGCAAAUAACAAAGGGCGAUUAGUCAAGUUAGACAACGGGUGUUUUAGCAAGCCUUACAAGGAGAUCUAGGAACUUUGAACAGUUGUUUGAACAUUUACUUACCAUAAGUACUAAUAUUGAUUGGUAUGUUUGAAGCGGUGUUUUUCCAAAGGGGCGUGUGAUGAAUAUAUUAAUUAGAGUGGCAAUAUAUACGUAUAUCAUCACUUUUUUUUUUCUUCUAUAGAGAUAUGUUUUCUUACAUAAAAUACACAUUAAUUUUUAGAAUGAAUAUCAUAAAAAACAGUCCUACAGUCUAGUGCUUCACUAGAUCUUCUUCGUUUGCAUGUUAAAUGUCUCAGGCUUGACAUCUAGACGUAGCGAGUUCGGUAUCUUAUUACGACUCACUCAUUUGCCAGGCAUUCUUUAUUUAACUUUCUUUCAGAACCUCAUAUACCAAUUUUAAUCGAGAGUCAUGGACAAAUGAAUUUGUCCCUAAAAGCUAGAAAUAGUGUAUAAACCCAAGGGAUAAAGCCUAACUAUAAUUUGACAAGAUGAAGUGAAAUUAACUAGAUGUAACAACAAUAUAUACCAACAGCACAUAGCACCUUUUCUCAUCUACUACUCCGUCACAUGCAUUGUUUUUGAAAACUUGCUUUGCUACUUGCUAGAGUAUCUUCGGUCUUCAUUUGAGUCCAAAUGUGGAAGGAGAGUUCUAUGCAUGAGUAGCGAGUAAUGGACAAACAAUGGCAGCCACAGCUCCUUCUCCAUUCCAGAGAAUAGAAAAAUUACUACGUACCAAAACAAUGGAAACCAUUUAGGGCGUCUUAUAUACGGAGAUUUGUAUUUACUCCAUUGUCUUCAACCAGAAGCAUCGUAUGAAAAACUCUCUAUCCCUUAAAAACUAAUUUAUACAUGAUAUACAAUCACAUGUAUGCGUUUAGUUAUGGAUUUGGAUAUGAUAAUUAGGGAAAAACUUAAUUGUAACAAGUUUAAUAUUGCAUUCUCUCGUAUCUGCAGUAGUGGAUCUAGGAAAUUUUAUUGGGGGUCAAUAAGAUUAGUGUGUGUAGCGGGCAAAUUUUUUUGGACGAAAUAUCAUGCAAAUUGGCAUUUCAUCGAGCUUUGGUAGGCCUGAGGUCAUUUGUUAAGUCAUGUUCUAUAAGCCUGUCGACAAAUACCAACAAUUUAUGAGCGAUCAUGUCGACUGAUGUCAAUAGCUUUUAAGCAAGCAUGCAGACAAUUGCCAACAUAUGUUGAGUGAGCCUAUCGAAUGAUGAUCACAGCAAUGCAUACGAAGACAUGAGGCUAGCAGCUACACUGCUUAGUGCCCAUAGAGAUAAAUUCGUCGAGCAGUUGGAGGACAACUUUCAAGCACAUGUAGCAACCAACUCUUCUAUGGAGGAUUUCUGAGCUUAGAGGGGUCAGUUGACCCACCUUGCCCCAAAGUGAAUCUGCCCUACUGUAACUAAUCAUGUGAUGAAAAGAAGAUAGGAGAGGAGAAACCGAAUAAUUACAUGUUAAGUUCUUAUCUUCAACUUGAGACUGAACUAGGCCUGGCCAACGGGUCGUGUAUGUCGUGUUCGUGUCGUUUUCGUGUAACAUCUGUUAUCUUAACGGGUCAUGUCGUGUCACACCUGUUAUCUUAACAGGUCAGGUCACUUUACCCAACGGGUAAAGUGACCUGACCCGUUAUAACCCGUUAUGACCCGUUAAGAAAAAUAUAUUUUUUUUCUUACAUUGGCACAUACCACACUUUGCCACAUAAAUAUUACUUCAAAACAUUAAAACACAUAAUUUAAUAUAUACAUAUAUAUAUAUAUAUAAUUAUAUUAUAUAAUUAUUUUAGUUUUUAGGGGUAUAAAAUUGUUAAAUUAAUGUAUAUAAUUAUUAUAGUUUAUUCAUACUCAUUAAGUAUAACAUAAGAUUUUGUGGUAUCCACUAGUGUAAUUUUUUAAUUGAAGAUCGAAUUCAUUCAUUGUAUUCAUAUAGGGUCAAGGAGUGUAGCUGUAAAAAAUCAUCAAAAUCAGAGUUAAAAUAACCGUUAAAUCAUAAUUUUUCUUUUUAUAACCGUCGAAAAGUUUUGUCCCGUUACUUUAUCUUUGAAUGUUUGUUUUUUGCAAUUUUUGGUGUAUGCAAUCUCGAAGUAUAUACAAACAUGUUUGACGAUUGGAUCGUUGAAACUAGUUUCGUAGAAUGCGUAUCCCAUCAAAACAAUAACUUCACUAACACUUAAGAGUUUAUUCAUACUUUCAUUAAGUAUAACAUAAGAUUUUGUGGUAUCCACUAAUGUAAAUAUUUUAAAUUGAAGAUCGAAUUCAUUCAUUGUAUUCAUUUAGGGUCAAGGAAUGUAGCUGUAAAGAAUCAUCAAAAUCGGAGUUAAAAUAACCGUUAAAUCGUUAUUUUUCUUUUUAUAACCGUUGAAAGGUUUUGUCCCGUUACUUGAUCUCUAUAUGUUUGUUUUUUGCAAUUUUUGGCGUAUGCGAUCUCGAAGUAUAUACAAAUACGUUUAACGGUUGGAUCGUUGAAACUAAUUUUGUAGAAUGCGUAUCCCAUCAAAACAAUGGAUUCACUAACACUUAAGAGUUUAUUCAUACUUUCAUUAAGUAUAACAAGAUUUUGUGGUAUCCACUAGUGUAAAUAUUUUAAAUUGAAGAUUGAAUUUAUUCAUCGUAUUCAUAUAGGGUCAAGGAGUGUAGCUGUAAAAAAUCAUCAAAAUCGGAGUUAAAAUAGCCGUUAAAUCGUGAUUUUUAUUUUUAUAACCGUCGAAAAGUUUUGUCCCAUUACUUGAUCUCUGAAUGUUUGUUUUUUGCAAUUUUUGACGUAUGCGAUCUCGAAAUAUAUACAAACAUGUUUGACAGUUGAAUCGUUAAAACUAGUUUUGUAGAAUGCAUAUCCCAUCAAAACAAUAGAUUCACCAAUACUUGAGAGUUUAUUCAUACUUUUAUUAAGUAUAACAUAAGAUUUUGUGGUAUCUACUAGUGUAAAUAUUUUAAAUUGAAGAUCGAAUUCAUUCAUUGUAUUCAUAUAGGGUCAAGGAGUGUAGCUGUAAAGAAUCAUCAAAAUCGAAGUUAAAAUAACCAUUAAAUCAUAAUUUUUCUUUUUAUAACCGUCGAAAAGUUUUGUCCCGUUGCUUGAUCUCUGAAUGUUUGUUUUUUGCAAUUUUUUGCGUAUGCAAUCUCGAAGUAUAUACAAACAUGUUUGACGGUUGGAUCGUUGAAACUAGUUUUGUAGAAUGCGUAUCCCAUCAAAACAAUAGAUUCACUAACAUUUAAGAGUUUAUUCAUACUUUCAUUAAGUAUAACAUAAGAUUUUAUGGUAUCCACUAGUGUAAAUAUUUUAAAUUGAAGAUCGAAUUCAUUCAUUCUAUUCAUAUAGGGUAAAUGAGUGUAGCUGUAAAAAAUCAUCAAAAUCGAAGUUAAAAUAACCGUUAAAUCUUGAUUUUUCAUUUUAUAUCCGUCGAAAAGUUUUGUUCGGUUACUUAAUCUUUAAUGUUUGUUUUUUGCAAUUUUUGGUGUAUACGAUCUUGAAGUAUAUACAAACAUGUUUGACGGUUGGAUCGUUGAAACUAGUUUCAUAGAAUGCGUAUCCUAUGAAAACAAUAGAUUCACUACCACUUAAGAGUUUAUUCAUACUUUCAUUAAGUAUAACAUAAGAUAUCCACUAGUGUAAAUAUUUUAAAUUGAAGAUCGAAUUCAUUCAUUGUAUUCAUAUAGGGUCAAGGAAUGUAGUUGUAAAAAAUCAUAAAAAUCAGAGUUAAAACAAUAGUUAAAUCGUGAUUUUUCGUUUUAUAACUGUUGAAAAGUUUUGUUCGGUUACUUAAUCUCUGAAUGUUUUUUUUUUUCAAUUUUUUAAUGAUGCAAUCUCGAAGCAUAUACAAACAAAUUUGACGGUUGGAUCGUUGAAAUUAGUUUCGUAUAAUUUGUAUCCCAUCAGGGUCAAUGGUAUAUAUAUCUAUUAAGUGGAUUUAAAUCUAUUGAUUAUGUAUGUAUAAUUAUUAUAGUUUUUAGGCGUAUAAAAUUUAAUUUAAAAUUAUAUAUAUAAUUAUUAUAGUUAAUAUUUUGGGGGUAUAAUUAUUAUAGUAUAUAUAAUUAUUAUAAUUAAUUUAAUAUAUAUAUAUAUAUAUAAUUAUAGUAUUUUAUUAGGGUUAUAAAAUUAUUAAAUUAAUAUUCUGUUUAUCGUGUAUCGUGUUACCCACGUGUAUACCCGAACCAACCCGUUAUCUUAACAGGUGCUUAUCGGGUAACCCGAUAACGACCCGAUUCGUUAUCGUGUCGACCCGAACACCUGUUAAUUUUGUGUCGUGUUGUGUCGGGUUAUCGGGUAGUGUCAGGAAUUGCUAGGCCUAGACUGAACCCGAAUUUAGUUAUAGGGCAUCAAAGUCAAUGUGCUUUUUUGCAUGAAGAUAGGAGAGGAGAAACCGAAUAAUUACAUGUUAAGUUCUUAUCUUCAACUUGAGACUGAACCCUAAUUUAGUUCUAGGGCAUCAAAGUAAAUGUGCUUUUUGGCAUUUGAGAUGCUUGCCCUUUUAGGUCAGGAGAUGCUCUCAAAGGGUUCACGUGUUCAAGAAUUGGGAUAAAAGACAACCUUGAAAUGGACAUGACAUGUACUGUUUGUCUCUCUGUUUGGGUUUGGAAUAUGUAAAUACCAGAUUGGAUCGGCUUGGUCCAAAUAAGGAGUAGCACAAGAACCUCAAACGGAAAAAAUAAAAGAAAAUAUAUUUUACAGCCUGAGCUUACCUAUUCUAAUAACCAUGAUGCUGUGGUUUGACAGUCAAAUUCGACUGUAGUUUUGCAUGUAUACUGUGUCCAUAUGGAACCCUGAGGAUGGCUCCAAUCAUUUAAGAAGAUCAUAAUCCACCUAACAUAAGAAAUUAGGAUUAAAAAAAGACAGUGUUUCAGCAAUUUUUUGGGAAGUGUUAUUGACACUUCAAAAAUCUUAUUGUACACUCUUCAUAAGUGUAUUUUUCUUUCCAAAUAUAGAAAGUUUGGAGUCUAGAAAGAGAUUUUUGGAAUGCCAAUAACAAUUCUCCAAUUUUUUUGUGUGAAAAAUAUGUUUAAACUUUAGUUAUGAAACAAUUAUGUACUCUUAUGUUGUCUUUUUCUUUUUUUCAGAGGUGAUAAACCUUUUGUCAAAAAGUGUACGUAGUUAAUUUAACAUAGAACCUUGGGGUUUAAGGGUUAAUCCAAAAAUGAAAAACCAUUAUGCAAAACAUGGUCAUUUUCACAUAAGUAAAAAAAUCUAACCAUGCAUGUACGUCCUUUAUUCAGUUUGUUGCAUGCAUGGAUGUAGAGUGAAGAGAAGGAUAUAAUGGAUUCUUUUAAGGGAAGUUUAACAAAAAACUCCUACUGUUCACUUUAACGAAAAACCAUAUUUUUACACUAAAAUGUCAAUCUUGGUACUAUUCACUUUACCCUUUAUUUUGUCAUUAUCGUUAAAACUCAAAGUUUUCAAAACCUUUUCAUUAGUUUUCCUUUCUUUUAAUGUAUUCGAAAUUUCGAACCCACACAAUUAUAUCACACGUAUUAGUUAGUUAUUUCGUUUACAAUUUAGCAUUUGAAGUUAAGAAUAGUAACAAUAGCCACUUAGUACUAAGGUCUAAUGAUAUUCUUUUUCACUUGGAAGUGAGAGUUCUUAGGUUCGAAUCUCGUGGAUGGCAAAUUCAAUACCAAAUUAGGUUGCCCAUUGUGUGGCUUAGCCGAACUCCUCCUCCUUUUAAUUUAAAAAUAUCAAUGUAUUAAAAACAAAAAUAGUAACAAUAAUAUUGUUAAACAAAUCAAAGGAUGAAAAAAAAAGAAAAAUGAAUUACAAACUAUGAAACUUAUUCCAUAGACAAAAAUAAAGAACUCUAGCUACAAAAUUACUAAGAAAGUUACAUAAUCCGAAUAAAAAUUACAUCUUGCCAUAAUUAAUUUUACUAAGUUACAAUAAGUGUAUUUAUAUAAAGAUCUAAUUUUGAAACAAACACGAAAAUAAUCUAAUAUAAGAAUAAACCAAAUCGAUAACUAGUUAAUUUUUCCAACAAAUAUCCCACAUGGAGUAUCAAGUACGUCGAUAACACAACACACUCUCCGAUUGUCAUUCCGCAUUCCAAACUCAUAUUUUUCAUUAGUUCUGAAGCAUUCACAAAGAAAGUUGAAUGAAAAAAAGGGAAAGUGAAUAUCAUUGUGUUGUGUAGUAGAGUGAUAAUUUGGUGUGUGCGUGUGUGUUAUAUGUUGAGAUAAGAAGAGAGAAAAGAAAAGAUUCAAAGCUGGAUAACACCAUGAUUCAGAUAUUGAGAUGUCACACCAAAGUUUGUCGCUUAAUAUAAUUAGAAUGACUUUAUUAAAGUCACAGCCCCAAGUGUCCAAACUUUAGUGAAAAAUAAGGUGUGGUUUGUGCCUGCAGUAAGUCUUUGUGUGCAUGCGGGUGAUCAGCUUAGAUCUCAGGGCAGUCAAUGGCUUAUUUAUCUGCAGAAGUGAAAAAAAGAAAGAGAAGAGUGAUUAAAGAGAAACCCUCGAGAGUUAUGCCGGUCACUUUUUUUGCUGCUUCCACUCACUUCUUGACAAAAGGUUGAAAUAAAAAAUAAACACUAAUUUAAUUAAUUGAUCAUCAGUCGAUCUCUUGCUUUCCCAGCAGCAGUCAGUACUGUUUGUUUCGACUUUAAUCAAUUUGUGUUUGUCUGUUGAUGUUGUAGGUCCUUUUUAUCGACUUUAAUUAGUUUUUUGGCUUUUUCAUGAUCAUCAUCUUUUAUUUUGUUGCCCGCAUUCAUCGUACCCUUUUCUCAUAUGUCCAUGUCUUCUUCUCUCUCUCUCUAUGCCCAAGGCUUUGUAUAAUAUCACCAGGUGUGACCCUACUGUAAUAGCAACUAGUAAGUAGAAAAAUUUACCACCCACCCCCCUCCAAAAAAGAACUAAAAAGUAGAUAAACAAGCAAGCAUGCUGCAUUAGUGGUUGAUUCUCUCUUUCUCUCGCUCAUGUUUUAAAACUGUUAGAACACACGGAAUGAAUACAUGUAAAAAAUUCAAUAUUCAUGAAUCUAACUAGGUUAUGAGUCAACACAAUGAUAACAUGUAAUUAAAACAACGAGAAGAAUCAAUAUCUAGUUGAGAAACACGUGUUAACAAGCCAGUGACACUAUAUAUCUGUUUAAAGAUGUUUUUGUUUUCUUAUUUGUUUGACAGGAAAAAAAAAGAAAGAGAAAGAAAAUAUAUGCAAAUUAGAUGUUUUAAGGGUUCAAGAUCUGUCUAUGUUAAUGGUUUGCUUCUCCAGCCAAGAAACAAAAACCAAAAGAUGUGAUAAGAACAUGUUCCCAGCCUCCCAUCCUCUGAACCAAAACCCUAAAGUUGUUUAUUUCUAAAGUUUGUGAACUUCUAAUAUAUUAAUUAGAAAAUUAAAUAAAUUGUUUUCAAUUCAAGCAACAAUCACAGUGGGAAAGGAAAUAAAUGGCAAUUUUUAGUUAUUUUCCUAACAUCAAAUAUGGGAAAUUAAGGAAUUUUUCGUUCUUGAGUAGAAAACUACAUGGAGAUUGAUGUAUGUGGGACAAUUCAACAAAAUCCUUGCAUGCAAUAUGUUGUAUAUAUGAAUAUCCUUCUAUUUCUCUACUCACAUGACAAUCAACAAAAAUGUUUUUAGGAACAAUCUAAUAAAUAAAACUUGCACAUGAAAUAAGAGAAAAAGACGUUAAUGUUUUAUACAACAUGUUGCACGAGAGUUCCUCACGACAGUUUAGGUCGCCUUUUUGAAAAGAAAAAAAGACAUUGAAAAAGGACAUAAUAUAUGUGCCUUUUCUAAUCGUUGCCUCACAUAUUUUCUUGUAGUGUAUGUUGCAUGGCCACACACACCGACACACCCGAAUACCAGCGGCAAGGAACCUUGGUUGAUAUUAAAAAUGUUCUUGGCGGGGCCUAUUUAGGGGGCAAAUGGUAUCCCCAUGAUUACCAGCUUGCGAUCGGAGCAUCACACAGAGUCCAGCUGCGAGUGGUGACGGAAGGGUCACCACAGAGUCAUCAUGUUUUAUGGAUAAUUUACAACUCUUAAAGCCGGAUUAUAGAUGAGAAGAUCUUGUUGUUUGGAGCUAAGAUUAUCUUAAUCAUGACAAAAGAAGGAUAUUAAACAAAAGCCAAGUGGGACCUAAACCCAAUCACUUAAUCACAUGUUAGAUUAACAUCUGAUCCUGAUGUGCAUACAGCAACUAAAAAACUCAAAACAAUGCGACAAUAUAACUUCUCCUUUAUCUGUAUCUUUAUACAUUCAAAGGAAGCCUAGCCAAAAUAAUCCCAUUAUCGGCUACAGGCUACACAUUUCACUAUUAUUCAUGAACAGGUUCAUGAAUAGUCCCUUUUUGUUGGGGAUUCAUGAGUACAUUUUGAGGUGGUUACUCAUCCAAUGUAUAUUUUUAAACUCUUCAUAACCAUUUGACAAUUUGUAAACCAUUAAGAUAUUUAAUUGCAAUGAAAUAGUGUAGACAAACACGAUAAUAAAAAAAAUAAAAAAAAUAAAACCUUAAAAUCACAACCCUUUAAUCUAAUGAUUAAAUAUUUUUAAAUUUUGUCUUUUUUUUUGGUAUAAUCUACAAUGAAAUACAUUGCAAUUAGACUCUACAAAAAAUACUUUGCACGACGAAAUAAGUUUAUUGUGCAAAAGUAUAAUUUUGUCACGUAAAACCUUGUGCGACGAAAUUUUGGUCACGCAUGGUUCGUUGCACAAAACUCAUGAAAAUAGGGUUUACGCGAUGAAAAUUAAUCUUCGUCACGCAAGGAUUUUUGUUUUUUAAUUUUUAAUUUAAUUUAAUAUUUUGCGAGACGAAAUAUUUUGUCGCACAAGGUUUUUGACUUUUUUGUUUUAUUAUUUCUCUUAUAUUAAUUUAAUUAUGUUAAUUGUUUGUGCGAUGAAAUAUUUGGUAGCGCUAGAUUUUUCAAAUUUUUACUUUUUUAAUUUAAUUUAAUUGUAUGAUUUUAUUUUUUUAAUUACUUUAAUUUAAAAUGACAUAUUCAAAAUAAAAUUACAUAUGAAAAAUAGUGAUCAAAUUAUCCAAUAUAUAUAAUAUAUUCAAAAUGUACACAUAAAUUAACAAAGUACAAUAAUAAAAUCCUAAUACAAGUCUAUUGUGGUGGUAUUGGCUGGGGAUAUGGUUUGUUAGUGUUAUAAUCCUCAACUUUAGCCGUCAAAAUCUCGACGAUCCCUACAAAAAAAAAAAAAAAAACAAACAUGGUCAAAUAACAAAAAAAAACAACAUAAAAUAAUAUCAAAAAAUUGGCAUAAUCUCCCCUAAAAUUGGUAUACCCCAAAUCCGAUCACAAACUCCAUCCAUCACCUUAUACUUGACCCCAAAUGUGACAACAUGUCCCUAAUUUUACUAUUUUAUUAAUUUUAAAUGAGGGAAUUGAUGAAAAUGCCCCUAGAGGCAAGGAUUUUGACUUUCGUUGACCAUCGUUAAGAGAGACGUAUGACUCAUUCUUUUAGCGUAUUUGCGUAGUACGUGAUGAUACGAACGUGUGCGCACAAGUGGAUUCAAAUUUGGAGCUACGAUGGAGAUUUUUCAGAAUUACGAAUGUGAUGGGCAUUUUGGUAAUUUCCAUUGGGAGAUAUUCUCUGUGUGUUGUUUUGUGAGCCAGCGGGGCCCACAUCCCAUUUCUCCCCCUCUCUCCCAUGUCUCCCAAUUUUAGAACUAUCAUUUUUUUAUUUUUCUCAACUCUUCCUCCACUCAUUUUCUGCCACCUCACCUUAGCUCAUUCUUUCUCAAACUCUCCCCCACCUCUUUUCCCUCUCAUCUCUCGCCCUUCUCCUCCUGAAGCACCGAGAGCAGCACCACCGAGCUGCUAUCCUCCGGCAAACCAUGAUGCCAACCACUACUAGGUCUCGUCAUUUCCUUCGCCAUUAAACAAGAAAAGCAAGAAUGAACCUUCAAUCUCAAACCCAUACGGUGGAAACCCAAGCUCAACUUUGGAAGGUUUAUUUUUGUUCCGACAAAUUUCUGGGUUUUCCAACUAAGGUAAACUGCGGGUACUCUUAAUCCCUUCCUUUUGAAGUCCUGGUUUGAUUUUUCGUUCUAUAUGGUUGAUUUGGUGGUGAUGGGUACAUAAAUCAACUUGGGAAGUUAUUUCUUAGAUGUUUGGUGAAUCCGAGAGACUUGUAGGUAUUUUCCGACCUACUCCGUCCAUGGCCGGGAGUUGUAAUGGUAUAUUUCAAUUCCUCGUCCUUUAAGCCUCAAUUUGGUAUAUUAGGUUGCUAGUGUUAGUUAAGUUGCGGAGUCGAUCAGAGCCUUUGAACUUCUGGUUUUCUCUUUCACAGAAACCAGUGACCGAAUCUGAAAACAAUAAAAAAGGUAAAGGAAGCCUAGAUCCGGCCCAGUCCAUUUCUGAAAUGGGUUUGGAAUAUUCUUAGAAUAUUCCUUAUGUUGACUUUUUCAAAAUUUUCUCGAAAACCCUCAUAGGCUUUCAACGUCCCGAGUCAUUUUUUGGCAUCCAUUUAGUGAAAUUAUAAAGUUUUAACGUAGUUGACUGCCGAAACGUCUCAGUUGACUUUUUACGAAAAUUGCCCGGGACCCUCCUUAGUGUAUUUCGAUGCGUUAAUUUUGAAUCCGAUGUCCGUUUCUCUAAAUUCAAACAUUUUAAUUGAGUUUUACUAAUGGUUCUCAAUAUUAUGCUUAGGUGCGAUUACUAUCGGAGACUCCGGCUUCCUAACUCGAACGGAUGUGACAUGGCAAGUAUCUGUAAGUGGGUCUUUGCUUUUAAAUAUUAUAUACUUAUUUAUUUUCCAUUUAUAAAUUUAAAAAGAACUUCCUACAUAUGCCUAUAUUAGACUAAUGUUUAUAAGAAUUAGCAAAAUAACGAAAUUUACGAAAUUAUUCUGAAUCUUGCGGGAUGCAGAGGUAUACGUGGGAUGCCUUAAUUAUAUUUGCAGCCAUGAAUAAUAUAUGAUGACUAAAAUUAUCAAAUCAUUGUGGCAUGAUUAUAUUUAUGUUAUCUACUUGUUGAUGCACAAAAUCAAUGAGGACUUUGGUACAACAGAAAGUGUUAAGUUUGUGACCUUCGCUAGAUUGCUCCGGUCACUAGUGUGGAUAAAUAUGUAAAUGGAUAGGGACAGGGAUGCAAACACAAGAUGUACGUGGUUCAUCCAGAUUGGCUACGUCCACGGAGUAGAGGAGCUUUCAUUAAUUGUGAAGGGUUUACACAAGUACAUAGAUUCAAGUUCUCCUUUAGUAUAGUGAAUGAUUUAGUACAAAUGACAUUAGGAAAUAUUGUGAGAGAAUGAUCUCUAUUUAUAUAAGAGAGUUUCUAGUUUCAUUCUGACAUUGACAUGUGUCGUGUUGUGAUUGGCUUCUGAUAUUGACACGUGUCGCGUUAUGAUUGGCUUCUGAUGUCGACACGUGUCGCGUUGUGAUUGGCCUCCUAGUUAGAAGGAAACUCUUUUGGGUCCUUGGCGGUAUAACGUUAACCGGUACUUAGUAGUUUCGAGAUUGGUCAAGUAUGGUACAAACAAUUCUCCCCUAAGUUCCCGAGUGAGGGAAUCUCCUCGGUUGGGGACUUGCAAGAUCCAAGUCAUUGAGUAAUUACGAAACUUCUAAGUACCGAAGUGUGGUAUCAUUUUCACUUGCAUUAUCUAUCUCAUAUGUAGAUGUGACAUCUUCUCUGGAAGUACUUUUCCUCCAUCCAAGGGUGGUAUCUUUAACCGAUGAAGAUGCACAAGGUAAUGUAUCAAUUUCACUUGAAGCUUACUUGUAGUUUCGGGCUUGGUCAAGUGCAAUACAAACCCUAUAGUAGGAGUCCCCCAAGUCGCCGAACUAGGAGACUUGCCGAAUGAGGUAACAGACAAGGUAAGCAAUCAGACUUCCAAGCAAGCAACCUGGAUCGGAGGUUCGACUUCGGCUUCCGGUUGAUUGUUCUCCUUCUCCUUGUGUCGUAAACAGCAACAAGGAUAAAGAGAAGAAAAUGGAGAAGAGAUGAUAUGAGAUACUUUUGCUUUUGAAGAAGUAACUUUCCACAUGCUUAUUCUUGAACUGGGCUGGAGGGUUUUCUGGUUUCCUCUAGAGUAUAAGGCCGACUCAAGAAUUUAAGGGUCAAAACAAGUCCAUCAAAUCUAUAGUACGCUCGACCCUGAUGAUAUGGGAUACUUUUGCUGUUGACAAAGUAGUGGAUGUAUCGGCACGUGUUCUGUAAUACUUGUCUCCACAUGCUUCAUUGUGUUAUUCUUACUUGCCCUAUCUGUUCCUCAGGCAAAUGUGGUAUCGUAUCUGGAAGCAUAAGAUGUUGAAGAUGAGUACUCAAGAGAAAUGUCAGGUAAGUAAUCAGGCAAAGGGUUCCAAGCAGUCAGUUUCUGACUGGAAGUUUGAUUCCAAGUGCUGACUAAUUGCUCUCUUUCUCCUUGUCUUGCAGGUAAGAACAAGGCCAAAGGAAAAGACAG